UUUCUAAGUUUAAAUGUGAGCCAUUGGAUUAUAGACCAAUUGGACAGCUGAGAUGUAAUCUUAGUUUUAGUUUAACAUAUUGCCACUUGUAUCUAUCUUAUAGGAUAGAUUACAUGAAGGGUUGUGAUUGUUUUGUGUGAAUUCUCUUCUCUUCGGGUAUAUCCUUGCACAUGACUUGUGUGCAGAUCAUGAAUGAAGAAAAAGCUUUGUUAGUUCGGGUUUUUCUCUUUGAACGUUCUAGCUGCAUUCAUCUGUGUAGGAAGAGAUCAUUCAUUUUCUUCUUGAUUUCAUUUCUACAAAACAGGGUCACAUUCCUGAUUGCUAACAUAUAUGAGUCAUCUUGUUCCAACAGAAUCGAAGUAGCUAGCGUUUAUUUCCAUGGUAUCGAAAAAUAUCUCCCACCCGAUCCUCUUCAUCUUCCUUGUUUCUUGUAAUUUUUCGUGUUCUUCCGCACAAACUUGGAUUCGAGCUGGUUACUGGUACACCGGCAGCGACUUUCCUUUACAGGAGGUAAACUCUGCCUUGUUCACACAUCUUAUUUGUUCUUUUGCCAAUGUGAAUUUCUCCACCUACCAGCUCUCCAUCCCUUCUGCUCAUGAACAAUACUUCUCGAGCUUCACCGAUAUUGUCAAGCGCAAAAACCCAUCAAUCACAACGCUCCUAUCCAUAUGGGAUGGAGAAGCAGCAACAACUCAGCUAAUUUUGGGUCAGAGAGCAAACUUUUCAGUCUUGUCUAAAAUGCUCGAAAUCCCUUCGAAUAGAAAGUCUUUCAUUGAGUCCUCCAUCGAAGUGGCAAAACGUUAUGGCUUUCAAGGUAUAGACUUACUCUGGGCUUGGCUUAACACAACCUCAGAUGUGAUCAAUAUGGAAAAGCUACUGGACGAGUGGCGAGUUGCUGUGAUUUCUGAGGCAAGAAACUCUGGUCUGCCACGAUUAACAUUGACAAUGGCGGUUAGGUAUAUUCCCACUUUUGAAUCGUUGAUUUAUCCGGUUGAAUCUAUGAAGAGGAAUUUGGAUUGGGCGCAUGUUGUGGCGUAUGACUACCAUCUGCCUUUAAAGGAGAAUGUUAUUGGUGCUCAUGCUGCUUUAUAUGAUCCUUCGAGCUAUGUUAACACCGACUAUGGGAUAAAGCAAUGGUUAAACUACUCAUUUCCGGCCAGCAAACUGGUUUUGGGUUUGCCUUACCAUGGCUAUGCGUGGACAGUUGCAAACCCCAAAGACAAUAAUGGAAUCGGGGCACCUGCAUCUGGCUUUGCUGUGACAAAAGAUGGAUCAAUGAGCUAUAAGCUCAUCAAGUGGUACAUUCGAAGCUACAGAGGGCUCAUAGCGUAUAAUGAUACUUAUGUCUUGAAUUACUGCAUGGUAGGAUCGACUUGGAUUAAUUUCGAUGAUGCGGAAGCCAUCAGAGCUAAGAUUGCAUAUGUGAAAGCGAAGAAGCUACUCGGUACCAAUAUGUUUCAAGUCAGCAAUGAUGAUGAAAAUUGGGCACUUUCUCGGGCAGCUCAGGAGGAAGGAAAUGAUCACGAAAAGAAACCCCGGUUACUGCUUGUAAUAGUGCUAUCAGUUACUUCGGUCGUAAUUCUCAUAGCUUUCGUGGUGUGUUUCUAGCAGAGAGAACUAGUGAAGACAAGAGGGAUGAUUGUUCUAGGCAGAUCAAGGUCUACUAGUACAUCAGCUGUUGACAGUGAUGCUCCGAAUCUGAAAGUAUACCACUUUUCCAGUCUCAAAGCGGCUACAAAUAACUUCUCAAUUGAAAACAAACUUGGAGAGGGUGGAUUUGGUCCCCGUUUACAAGGGUAAGUUGCGGAGAGGUCAGGAAAUAGCAGUGAAAAGGCUUUCAAAAACGUCUACUCAAGGACUUCAGGAAUUCGAAAAUGAGGUUAAACUUACUGCGAGACUACAACAUGUGAAUCUAGUUCCUGUUCUUGGAUUUUGCACUGAGAAUGAAGAAAAAAUGCUGAUUCACGAGUACAUGCCCAACAAAAGCUUGGACUUCUACCUUUUCGGUCUGCAAUUUUUCAUGCUUCUCGUUACAUUUUAGAAUGCAUGCUAGAAUAACGAUCCUACCGGACAGUAUUUCAUGGAUUGGAGAAAGCGUGUGCACAUCAUCGAAGGCAUUAUUCAAGAACUCCUAUAUCUUCAAGAAUACUCAAACUUCACAAUCAUUCACCGUGAUCUAAAAGCUAGCAACAUUUUGCAUGAUGACGAGAUGAAUGCUAAGAUUUCCGAUUUUGGAAUGGCCAAACUUUUCAGAAAGGAUGAACUCGAAGGAAACACAAGGCGGAUUGUUGGCACAUAUGGCUACGUACCUCCUGAAUACAUACGAAAAGGCAUAUACUCUAUGAAGUACGACGUCUACAGCUUCGGAGUUCUACUUUUGCAAAUGAUUAGCGGACGGAAGAGUACACAUUACUAUGGUCCGAACGAAAGUAUGCACCUCUUGGAAUAUGCAUAUGUAUCAUGGAAAGAGGACAAAGGACUGGAUUUUAUCGAUCCGUCACUUGACGAUUCUUCUUCUUCUUGUAAGUUAUUGAGAUGCUUGCAAGUGGCACUGCUCUGUGUCCAGGAAAAUGCCGACGAUAGGCCUACAAUGCUGGAAGUUUAUUCCAUGCUCAUAUCUGACACUCAAGCCGUUCCAACUCCUACAAAGACGGCUUUCUCAGUGAAAAAUUACGACAACGUGGACAACAUAUGUACCCCGCAGCCAGGAAAUUGUUCGGUUAAUGAUGCUCAGAUCUCCGAACUCCAACCCCGAUGAGAAUGCAGGCUCAAGUGAAAAUGCGGGCGCGAAUGAGAAGCGUCUAUGAGAAGGAAGUGCACACAAGUUUCUAGCAAUUUUGGAUUCUUCGUCUCGUGGAAGACAUUGGAAGUUUUAAAGAUUUAGUAUUUUGUUAAAGGGACAUUAUGGAUGCGGUCCUUAA